CACUACAUAUUCUACAACCCAUCAUCACCUAACGAAGUUGCAUUAAAGAGAAGAAAAAAGAUAAAAGAAGAAGAAGAAGAAGAAGAGCACCAAGCAAUUCCUACUUUGUCAGAAACUUUUUCACCAAAACUUACCAACAUCAUACACUUCUAUUCCCCUUACUUGCAUCUCCUCUUCAAUGAUGACCACUUCUAAUAGUAACAAAGAUGGCUAAAAACACUUGCUUGAAGACAACAAAAACGGAAAAAAAAAAAAAAAAAAAAAAUUCCUCCAGUAUAACUAAGGGGAGAGUCCACAACCACUAGGCACCAAGUACUGUAAGCUCUUUAAGAUGUUCCGUCACUAAUCCCAUGCACUGCUCAUGCCUGAACCAUAUCCUCCAUAUCCACCGCUGGUGUUUGCUCCACCGUAAUAAUCUGAACUGCCCCUAUUGAAUGAAGAAUCCCUUCUAAAGUCACGGCCACCAAACCUGCCUCCUCCAGAACGACGGCUCCUCCCUCCACCAUAAGAAGAAUGAGCUGAAUAACGAGAGAGCCAAACAGGUACUUCUUGCUUU
rnacentral:misc_RNA from 1 species